AUACCAAUAAAGACGCUUUUUCAAUCAAAAUCUGUUCUUAUCAGUUUAAUAUCUGAUACGCCCCCUAUCUGGGGGCCAUAUAUUAAAUGGAUUUUUAGAACAGGGAGAUGGAAGAAGAGCUUGCUCUGUCCACUCCACGCAUUGACCCGGUAUUGCAGUACCUCCGGGACCGGUGCACCUUUC